rnacentral:rRNA from 1 species
GAUGAACGCUGGCGGCGUGCCUAAUACAUGCAAGUCGAGCGAAUGGAUUGAGAGCUUGCUCUCAAGAAGUUAGCGGCAGACGGGUGAGUAACACGUGGGUAACCUGCCCAUAAGACUGGGAUAACUCCGGGAAACCGGGGCUAAUACCGGAUAACAUUUUGAACUGCAUGGUUCGAAAUUGAAAGGCGGCUUCGGCUGUCACUUAUGGAUGGACCCGCGUCGCAUUAGCUAGUUGGUGAGGUAACGGCUCACCAAGGCAACGAUGCGUAGCCGACCUGGGAGGGUGAUCGGCCACACUGGGACUGAGACACGGCCCAGACUCCUACGGGAGGCAGCAGUAGGGAAUCUUCCGCAAUGGACGAAAGUCUGACGGAGCAACGCCGCGUGAGUGAUGAAGGCUUUCGGGUCGUAAAACUCUGUUGUUAGGGAAGAACAAGUGCUAGUUGAAUAAGCUGGCACCUUGACGGUACCUAACCAGAAAGCCACGGCUAACUACGUGCCAGCAGCCGCAGUAA